GAAAUCGGAUUUACAUUAUACACUUAAACUUUCACUUGGAAAGGUCGUCUGGGCUAAGAUUUAGAUAGUUGGUUGCUCUAUUUCGUUGUUUUGCGAAAAUACUCAGUAAGCAAAAGGUGGAAUAUUUGUAAUCACCUUAAAAUAUUCUACUUUUUAAAAUGGGUCUAGCAUCUACCCUGUACCAAACUUUUUUUAAGCGGACCUCAACAACUGUACUAACUGUAUUGGUUGGAGCUUUCUUCUUUGAGCGUGCUGUUGAUGUUGGUUGCGACGCUGUAUUUGAUAAAAUUAAUGAAGGUAAACAAUGGAAGGAUAUAAAGCACAAAUAUGCUCAAGAAUAAUUAUUGUAAUAUAAGAAAUAAAUAGCAAAAUUUAAUCAUGUUGUCAAGUUGUAGUUCUGUGAAUGAGAUGUGUAAAAUUGUUUUCAUUUUUUAUUUAACUUAAUAAAUGUUGAAACAUGUUAAAACUUGCUUGUCUCCCAUCUCAUCAGAGAAAUGUAUUGUUUGUAUUUUUAUUGUAUUAAAUGGUAUGCUUAAAAUA